CCAUCAACAGUAAAGAUAAGAACGACGAAAUCGUCAGUAUGCUUGGCGCCAGCUAUUUCCGCGUUAUCGGCGCAGGCCAGGUAUAUGGCUUAUCUGCGCGCGGCCUGGCGAUUGAUACCGCCUUACCAUCUGGUGAAGAGUUUCCCCGCUUUCGCGAGUUCUGGAUUGAGCGUCCAAAACCCACCGAUAAGCGUUUGACCGUCUAUGCAUUACUGGAUUCUCCGCGCGCGACCGGCGCUUACCGCUUUGUGAUCAUUCCUGGCCGCGAUACCGUGGUGGACGUGCAGUCAAAGGUCUAUCUGCGCGAUAAAGUGGGCAAGCUGGGCGUUGCGCCAUUAACCAGUAUGUUCCUGUUUGGGCCAAACCAGCCGUCGCCGAUGACCAACUAUCGUCCGGAACUGCAUGACUCGAACGGCUUAUCCAUUCAUGCGGGUAAUGGCGAGUGGAUUUGGCGUCCGCUGAACAAU
rnacentral:misc_RNA from 1 species